GCCCUUAUAGCUCAGUGGUAGAGCGCUUGAGUAAGUCCUAGUACACGACUAUAUAUCAUUGGCGAUAUAACUAACAAUAAAUCAGCUUGUAAUCAAGAGGUCCAUAGUUCAAUCCUGUGUGGGGGCA